rnacentral:rRNA from 1 species
AUUGAACGCUGGCGGCAGGCCUAACACAUGCAAGUCGAACGAGUGGCGGACGGGUGAGUAAUGUCUGGGAAACUGCCUGAUGGAGGGGGAUAACUACUGGAAACGGUAGCUAAUACCGCAUACCAUCAGAUGUGCCCAGAUGGGAUUAGCUAGGUGGUGGGGUAACGGCUCACCAAGGCGACGAUCCCUAUCUGGUCUGAGAGGAUGACCAGCCAAACUGGAACUGAGACACGUUCCAUACUCCGACGUAAGGCAGCAUUGGGGAAUAUUGCACAAUGGGCGCAAGCCUGAUGCAGCCAUGCCGCGUGUAUGAAGAAGGCCUUCGGGUUGUAAAGUACUUGCAGCAGGGAGGCGUUACCCACAGAAGAAGCACCGGCUAACUCCGUGCCAGCAGCCGCGGUAAUAC